rnacentral:rRNA from 1 species
UACGUAGGGUGCGAGCGUUAAUCGGAAUUACUGGGCGUAAAGCGUGCGCAGGCGGCUCUGCAAGACAGAUGUGAAAUCCCCGGGCUCAACCUGGGAACUGCAUUUGUGACUGCAAGGCUAGAGUACGGCAGAGGGGGAUGGAAUUCCGCGUGUAGCAGUAAAAUGCGUAGAUAUGCGGAGGAACACCAAUGGCGAAGGCAAUCCCCUGGGCCUGUACUGACGCUCAUGCACGAAAGCGUGGGGAGCAAACAGG